GAUGAACGCUCGCUACAGGCUUAACACAUGCAAGUCGCGGGGCAGCAUGGGGGUUGCUUGCAAUCCCCGAUGGCGACCGGCGCACGGGUGAGUAACGCGUAUCCAACCUGCCCUUCACCACGGGAUAACCCGGCGAAAGUCGGACUAAUACCGUAUGUUGUCCAUUGACGGCAUCCGAUUUGGACGAAAGGGUUGGCGGUGAAGGAUGGGGAUGCGUCCGAUUAGCUGGACGGCGGGGUGACGGCCCACCGUGGCGACGAUCGGUAGGGGUUCUGAGAGGAAGGUCCCCCACACUGGAACUGAGACACGGUCCAGACUCCUACGGGAGGCAGCAGUGAGGAAUAUUGGUCAAUGGGCGUAAGCCUGAACCAGCCAAGUAGCGUGCAGGAUGACGGCCCUAUGGGUUGUAAACUGCUUUUAUGCGGGGAUAAAGUGGCCCACGUGUGGGUUUUUGCAGGUACCGCAUGAAUAAGGACCGGCUAAUUCCGUG
rnacentral:rRNA from 1 species